rnacentral:tRNA from 1 species
UCCCUGGUGGUCCAGUGGCUAAGACUCCACAUUCCCAAUGCAGAGUGCCUGGUUUGAUCCCUGGUCAGGGAA